rnacentral:rRNA from 1 species
GAUGAACGCUAGCGAUAGGCUUAACACAUGCAAGUCGAGGGGCAGCAGGACAAUAGCAAUAUUGUUGUUGGCGACCGGCGCACGGGUGAGUAACGCGUAUGCAACCUACCUACAACAAGGGGAUAGCCCGGCGAAAGUCGGAUUAAUACCGUAUAACACAGGGAUCCCGCAUGGGAAUAUUUGUUAAAGAUUUAUCGGUUGUAGAUGGGCAUGCGUAACAUUAGCUUGUUGGUGAGGUAACGGCUCACCAAGGCUACGAUGUUUAGGGGUUCUGAGAGGAAGGUCCCCCACACGGGUACUGAGACACGGACCAGACUCCUACGGGAGGCAGCAGUGAGGAAUAUUGGUCAAUGGGCGAGAGCCUGAACCAGCCAAAUCGCGUGAAGGAUGAAGGUAUUCUGUAUUGUAAACUUCUUUUAUACGGGAAUAAAGUGCAUCACGUGUGAUGUUUUGUAUGUACCGUACGAAUAAGCACCGGCUAACUCCGUGCCAGCCGCCGCGGUAACAC